CUAAUACCGGAUAAUGUCUUCGGACCAAAGUAUUUAUCGCCCGGAGAUAAGCCCGCGUAGGAUUAGCUAGUUGGUGGGGUAAAGGCUCACCAAGGCGACGAUCCUUAGCUGGUCUGAGAGGAUGAUCAGCCACACUGGGACUGAGACACGGCCCAGACUCCUACGGGAGGCAGCAGUGGGGGAAUAUUGGACAAUGGGCGAAAGCCUGAUCCAGCAAUGCCGCGUGAGUGAUGAAGGCCUUCGGGUUGUAAAGCUCUUUUACUCGGGACGAUAAUGACGGUACCGAGAGAAUAAGCCCCGGCUAACUCCGUG
rnacentral:rRNA from 1 species